AUAGAAAAUUAUUUAUCACCUUCAGAAUUAAUACUGAGCAAAUGUCAACAAUCUUCCCUUUUUUCAUGCUGUCACGGAUCAGUGGAAACAAAAAUGGUGUUAAGAUAACCUGCCUGAAACAGAUUCAGCAGCUCUGCUGACAUUUUAAUUCAUAAAAGUUAGGAAACUUAAUACAGCUGUGCCACUGACAAAGCUGCUGUGACUAGUUUCACUAGAAAGUUUCUCCACUGUAGUCUCUGACUCCCUUUUCUGAGAUUCGACAAAGAUCACAAGGAAUGGGGGAAAAAAAAAAAUAAAGAAAAGAUGGGUUUAUAAUACAAAAAACCUUGUCAGAGUAGGGGGUGAGACACCUACAAGUACACUGCUAUCACUUUUUAAACCUGCAAGAUACCAUAUAAAAAUCCUUUUAUAAAAAAGGCUUUUCAGUUCAGUGGAAGAAUGAUUUAGCUUACACCAAAGCUAAUGAAGGUGUUUUACAUUCUCUAGUUUAAAGAGCAAAUUAUGUAUUUGCUUUUGUAAGUAGACUCCUUACAAUAUAUAAUGCAAAACUAAAAUAAAUUGCUGUAAAUAAGUCACAUUUGUCUGCACUUAACCAAGAUUUGCAACAUUCUUGUUGGGUGCCAUUCACAGCCCAGGGAGAUAGCCUCCUCAGGAAUAAUUAAAUCUUUAUUAACACACUUAGGCUAGAUUCUUCAGUUAAAAACCCCCAAAAACCUCACAACAAAAAAACAACCCCCCAACUUGUCCCCUCCCCCCCCCAAAAAAAAAGAAAAAAAAGAAAAAAAGAUCUUCCUCCAUGAAACUACUUCUGAAUGAUACCAGAAGGUGAUAAAGUAGACCAGGGAUGAUAAAGUAGAAAAUUACACUACUUCUUAUACUAAAUAUACUUUUGCAAUUUCGAGCACAUUAACAAAAAACCUUACUUGCCACUGUUUCCCUGCCUACCUCAACUAUUAUUAAUACACACUCUAAAAAACAAAUUCAAGUUUUAUACAGUUUUGAUGACUGUUACUUAAUGACAAACAAGAAAAAACCCACAAAGUAGUAUUUUCAGCCUUAGCAGCUCUCAAGGUAAGUGGUUAUGACAUAAUAAAUUUUGUUAGCUUUCUGCCAGAUCUGUCUAUAACACAGGGUGACUGGUGAAGCCAUUCCAGUGUUUCUUACACACUUCUGUGAAAUCUUCUUCCUCCAGCUGGGUCACACUCUCUUACUUAACCCUUCCUGUCAUUUUAACUUACAGAAACAAAUACCCUUUCCUUUCAGGUGGAUUUAAUCUGAAAACUCUCUUUUAGUUUCAUUAUGCAGCUCCAGUAUUAGUAAUGACAUUUAAAAUAGAGUUAAUUCCUCAGAUUACAACUGCAGCCAAUAGCACGUUAAACAGCUAAUCUCUGCAUCAGACAAUGUUCAAAAUCCUAUAAAACAAGGAGGGCUCACAAACCUUCCAUAUCCUAACAGAGCUUUGCUAGUGAAAACAAGUUGUGCAAAACUCACAGAGAAUUGGCAUAUUCAGCCCUCUUGGUUAUUGUGCAAGUGCAAAUGAACAUCCCCUCCCUUCCAGAGUAUUUCUAAAAAUUCAGAUAUUUUGAGAGAAAAUCUACAAGCAGUCUGCAUUGUGCUGGGCACCACUCUGCCUGGUUCAAGGGUGAGAAAAUCCUAUGUUACCUCCAUGGAAAAGCGGGCAUGGCCCAGAUGCAAGCUCCUCACCAGACACCCAUGAGGGCAGGACCAGCACUGGCUCCUAGUGUCCCUUAAGAUUUGUGUAAUUUGUUUCCAUAAAGGUCUGACAGUGUUCAAGUAGGGAGUUAAGGGCAGUAUCUUUCAAAACUGUCACGUGUAUGUACUGCAAUACUCGCCAUAUGCCCAGCAUGUGCUAUUCAAAUAAAACCCACAAAUGCCAUACAAGCUCAUUCAGAGUCAGAAAUUCAAAAUGAGAAAAAGAAAAAGGUAAGAUUAUAUGUAAGAUGAAAAGAGUAUUACAGGAGGAGUUCACUUUUAAAGCCAGAUAGAAAAAGGUUUAUUUCAUGCUACUUACAUCUAUCUAAAAUUAGAAUGGGUGUCUAGAUGACUUUUCAAUCACAGUCAUACUAUACGAUAAGCAACUGAUACUCAAAUUGUAUCUCCCAGUGAGAUAACAAUUUCUAAUAUGCCAAAAAAUCUACCAUCUUGUUAAUACAGAUCUAAAACAGGAAUGAAGCUAUUUAAGUCUUUAUAAGACGUUACAUUUGAUGAAAAUAGCUAUUUUUAACCUAUCAUAUCCGCAGUAUCAGAACAGGGAACAAAUUAAGUUACACUUCUAAAAUAUUAAUUGAAAGUACAGUUCACUAUUUUUAAACUAAAGCAUAGGAUUGUGUAUUUUAUACAGAAAUAAGUGUUUUAAGAAAAACACAGUAAAAAGCAAAGGAUAUGUCUUUGUAGUGAAAGUUAGAGCUUCUUGAAUUGUUUAAAAGGUUUUAAAUGUCAAAUGGUUUGCACUAAUUUUCAUAACAUACCAAACCUAUAGCAAUAUAUCUACUGAGUUGGUAUUUUUCAUGCCUGGAUGAAUGGAGUGAGGUGGGCAGAAACCUGCACAAAUCCCCAGGCUUGAAGGACAUUGACCAAUGGUUUACUCCCCACUGCCAGCUAGCAAUGAGCCCUGCAGGGAUCAAUUUUGUGGCCCAUAUGAAUCAACAUCUUACCAGUUGCCCUGACCCGGGCAAGGGCAUAGACUACAUGCUAACAAGUUUGCAGAUGACAUUAAAUUAGGAGGAUGAGAUGGCAUGCCAAAUGGCAGAGCUUCAAUCAGGACAUUCCUUGGCUUGAGACUGGGCCAGAAGACACUUCAUGAGGUUCAACAGAAGCGCAAAGGUCUGCACCUGAGGCAGAAAAAUCCC
ensembl:lncRNA